CUUGGACCUGAGGUCACACUCUUAACUUGAACUCCUAGGUUUUAGACUCUGUCGAUGCAUUUGUAUAGUUCGAAAUGCACCCUUGUCACAUUUUUUU